rnacentral:lncRNA from 13 species
UAACAUUAGUAGUCAGUAUUUCCUGCUGUUUGUGUCAGUCGGGCUUCUUUUCAGGUCUUCCUCACUUUAUCAUUUUUAACCUCAAAGGAUUUUUACCCUGAUUAAACAAAGGUUAACAAAUCAAUACCAAGCGGACCAGAAUCCUCAGAGAAGUCAAAGAGAUUGACUAUCUAACAGCGUUGUGUAAACAGAGUGUAAACAGAGUGUAAACAGAGUGUAUAUUUGCUUGGAACAGAGCCCUUGUUUGUGGAGUUCACAUCUCAGCGAGGCACAAUGAUGUUGUAGACAUUAUACUACUAUACUAAACUAGAGACAUGGGCUGCGUUUUUUAACAAUGGCAGAACAUGCUCCAUCUCUAUAUAGUGUGUCUAUAACUAAACUAAAUGAAAGCGUUUAGAAAUGGACUGUUUUGCGUCAAUGGCGAUGCUAAUGUUAAAAUGUCCUGGGGGUUGUUGGGAGUUUAGCACCAUUACAUUUGUUUUCAACCGACAACAAAGAGUUUUAGAUGCUCCAUUGAUGAAAACGGCAUGUCAGACAAACGCGUUUUUGUCUCAGCUCAAAGUACCCAGAAAUAAUACGACUGUAUUUUGUGUGACGUCGUAAAAAUCAACCAACACGCUUUAACCANNNNNNNNNNGUUUCAGAUGCUCCAACUGACAAAAAAAUAGUAUUAGAUGCUCCAAAUGACAACAAAGAGUUUUAGAUGCUCCAACUGACAACAAAGAGUUUUAGAUGCUCCAACUGACAACAAAGAGUUUUAGAUCCUCCAACUGACAACAAAGAGUUUUAGAUGCUCCAACUGACAAAGAGUUUCAGAUGCUCCAACUGACAAAGAGUUUUAGAUGCUCCCACUGACAAAGAGUUUUAGAUGCUCCAACUGACAAAGAGUUUUAGAUGCUCCAACUGACAAAGAGUUUUAGAUGCUCCAUUGAUGAAAACGGCAUGUCAGACAAACGCGUUUUUGUCUCAGCUCAAAGUACCCAGAAAUAAUACGACUGUAUUUUGUGUGACGUCGUAAAAAUCAACCAACACGCUUUAACCAAUCACGUUGUCUGAAUCCUGUCCCUGAUUGUGUCCAUCUAUAAUUAACAUGUUAAAAAACCCUCAUGGGUGACUGUGUGUGUUGUCAAUGUGUUAAGAGGUUGUUUGUUGAAACGUUGCGUCCAGAGGUUCCGCUCCCUGUGAUGUUGUAGUUGCGUCCACAGGUUCCGCUCCCUGUGAUGUUGUAGUGAAAACCCAAAGUCAUACAGAGCAGACG